rnacentral:rRNA from 1 species
GACGAACGCUGGCGGCGUGCUUAACACAUGCAAGUCGAGCGAUGAAGUUCCUUCGGGAACGGAUUAGCGGCGGACGGGUGAGUAACACGUGGGUAACCUGCCUCAUAGAGGGGAAUAGCCUUUCGAAAGGAAGAUUAAUACCGCAUAAGAUUGUAGUUUCGCAUGAAACAGCAAUUAAAGGAGUAAUCCGCUAUGAGAUGGACCCGCGUCGCAUUAGCUAGUUGGUGAGGUAACGGCUCACCAAGGCGACGAUGCGUAGCCGACCUGAGAGGGUGCUCGGCCACAUUGGGACUGAGACACGGCCCAGACUCCUACGGGAGGCAGCAGUGGGGAAUAUUGCACAAUGGGGGAAACCUUGAUGCAGCAACGCCGCGUGAGUGAUGACGGUCUUCGGAUUGUAAAACUCUGUCUUCAGGGACGAUAAUGACGGUACCUGAGGGGGAAGCCACGGCUAACUACGUGCCAGCAGCCGCCGUAAUAC